rnacentral:rRNA from 1 species
UACGGAGGGUGCAAGCGUUAUCCGGAUUUACUGGGUUUAAAGGGUGUGUAGGCGGACUUUUAAGUCAGCGGUGAAAUCUCCGGGCUCAACCCGGAAACUACCAUUGAUACUAUUGGUCUUGAAUGUUGUUGAGGUGGGCGGAACGGGUCAUGUAGCGGUGAAAUGCAUAGAUAUGACCCGGAACACCGAUUGCGAAGGCAGCCCACUAAGCAAUGAUUGACGCUGAGGCACGAAAGCGUGGGGAUCAAACAGG